ACGUCUCUCUCUCUCUCUCACUAAAACCCCAAAAUGGGGUAAAACUCUAAUCUCUAAUCUCUCUUACCCUUUCUCUCGAUCCACAGGUCUGGUGAUAUGUUGAACAAGGUCAUGAUGUAAACAGAAGAGAACGAUGAACAUGGUUCUAUUGAAUCUGAUUGUAACGUGCAAGUGGUACCUGAUUUGAAGAACAUGGGUGUGGAGAUGAUGGGUGGAGGUGGUUGCAUCUAAUGCUCGUGGCAUGAACUUUGAAGGUGAAAACAGGGCUUUGAUUGCCCAGUAACAUUGAUUUUCAUUAUAAAUUUCAAGUAGAAUCCUUUGAGGUAUAGGAGCAAGAUUUACUCAAUUUUAACUUUCUUCGAUCAACCAUAAGUGGGUUUAUCAAAUUAUCUGUAAAGACGACGUUGUCACAAAAUGUUGAGGAUUACAGUGGGUUUGUUGCAAGGAUCAUUGUUGUAGGAUCAAGUCAGUUAAUGAAGGGGGUUUUGUGGAGUGGGGAUGUGACUAUAGAUCGAUUAAAAUGGGGAAACGAGUUCUUGAAGAAGGGGAUGAAGAUGUAAGAGGGUGUAGCAACGGGGAUUCUUUCUAGUGUUGUGAACGAUCUUGAUUCAUCACAAGUUCUCUCAUGAACUCCAAACCCAAUAAUAAUUUCUUCAACUUUAUCCCUAGUGAAAUAAUUUUCGAGUAUACGAGAUCCAAACCAGAAAGAAAAGGAGAGGAUAUCGGACAUGAAUGUGUCGAUGAUGGAAUCGUUAUCAGAGCACAAGGUCCGGGAGAUCCAAAUCAGAACACCAGAUACAGUGGGUGUCUUGCGAUUCGAUGAGAGGUAUAGAGUGCUUGGGUUUGGCAGAUUUUGUGUUCGUCUGCGUGUGUAUGUGUUUUGAGAUCCCUGAAUUAGGUUGAAUUGGAGGAUUGUUGAUCGAUUUAGUUUUAAUGUGUUGGAGAAGAAACAUUUCAAUCGAGAGAGAGAGAGAGAGAGAGAGAGAGAGAGAGAGAGAGAGAGAGAGAGAGAGAGAGAGAGAGAGAGAGAGAGAGAGAGAGGAUAAUUAUUUUCUUUUCCUUUUAUUUUUAAAUUAAAAUAGUAUUUGAAAAAAUUAAAAAAAUAUAUAAAAAAGAAAGUAAAGGGGUAUAACCGUCUUUUCAUGUUUUUUGAACCAAAAACACAAAAAAAAACUUUGAUUUUAAACCUUCUAUGCAAGUGAAAAACUUUUUAGAUCGUAUUCAAAGUUUUUUAAAUAUUACAGAGACCAAUCUUGUAGUUUUGUCAUGUUUUUAAAUGUAUAGUAGUGUGUAAUGCUUCGUAAAUAGUGUUCUUUUAAUUUGAAAAACAUUUAAGUUUUUAUUUUUUUUUCAAUUCCAAAAGCAUAAAAAAUGUGGGUGAAAUGAAGAAGCUGACUUGGCGGUUGUGUAUUGGAUAAGAUGAUAUGAAAAAGCGGAAAUUUCUAGGGACCCACCCAGCUGGGAUGAGCUGACUCAGGUUCGAGUUGAUCCAACAAAUUGGUAAUUUAAGUCUGAGUCAGCACCAUGAAAUUUUGUGGCUAGUUGAGCUUUAGACGGCUGACACGCCCUUACGUGAUUGUGGUCGGCGAUUUUUUUUUAUCUUUUUUCAUUUCAUUAUAAAUAUUUUGUUUAAAUAUGUACUUUCUAGAUCCAGCUAAGAAACGUAUUUUAUAUUAUUUAAAAUGGUAAUUAUAUCAGAAAAACACUACCAUUACAAAUCAAUUAUUGUAAAAAAAAUACUAAUAGCAAGCAAAAACUACUAUAGGAAAUCACAAAAAUAUUUUAUAUUAAUUAUUU